rnacentral:rRNA from 1 species
AUAUGUAGGGGGCGAGCGUUGUCCGGAAUGAUUGGGCGUAAAGGGCGCGUAGGCGGCCCGGUAAGUCUGGAGUGAAAGUCCUGUUUUUAAGAUGGGAAUUGCUUUGGAUACUGUCGGGCUUGAGUGCAGGAGAGGUAAGUGGAAUUCCCAGUGUAGCGGUGAAAUGCGUAGAGAUUGGGAGGAACACCAGUGGCGAAGGCGACUUACUGGACUGUAACUGACGCUGAGGCGCGAAAGUGUGGGGAGCAAACAGGAUUAGAUACCCUGGUAGUCCACACUGUAAACGAUGAAUGCUAGGUGUAAGAGGUAUCGACCCCUUUUGUGCCGGAGUCAACACAAUAAGCAUUCCGCCUGGGGAGUACGGCCGCAAGGUUGAAACUCAAAGGAAUUGACGG